AUGCUGUCCCCGGCGACCACCGCCACGGCCGCCGCCUUCCUCUCCGCGGCGCCUGCCUCCUCAUCCUCUACCCACCGCAGGCGUAGCCGUCGCGCUGCUAUCUCCGCCUCCCUCUCGUCCGAAGAACCGCUGCUCAUACGUGCGGCGAGGGGCGAGGAUGGGCUGCCUAGGCCGCCGGCGUGGAUGAUGCGGCAGGCUGGGCGGUACAUGGCGUCGUACCAGGCGCUGUCCAAGCGCCACCCUUCGUUCCGGGAGCGGUCGGAGACCACCGACCUCAUCGUCGAAAUCACGCUACAGCCGUGGCACGCCUUCGCACCCGACGGCGUCAUCCUAUUCUCGGACAUACUCACGCCGCUGCCGGCCAUCGGGGUGCCAUUCGAUAUCUCGGAAUCCAAGGGGCCGGUGAUCCAGUCGCCCGUGCGGACUGAGGAACAGGUCAGGGAGCUCGUUCCCAUAGAUCUCGAUAAGCUCCAGUUCGUUGGGGAGUCGCUCAAGAUUCUGCGCAACGAGAUUGAUGGAAAAGCUGCUUUGCUAGGAUUCGUGGGGGCCCCAUGGACAAUUGCAACUUACGUUGUUGAAGGAGGGAUGACCAACACUUACACAAAUAUAAAGCGCAUGUGCCACACAGCACCAAAUGUCUUGAGGGGCCUUCUCUCUCACCUCGCAGAAGCUAUAUCUGACUAUAUCAUUUACCAAGUAAACUCUGGUGCUCAGUGUAUACAGAUAUUUGAUUCAUGGGGUGGGCAACUUCCACCUCAUGUGUGGGAGCAAUGGUCAAAACCAUAUAUCAGACAAAUUGUGGCUAAGAUUAAGACAGAAUGCCCUCACAUACCACUUGUGCUGUAUAUAAAUGGAAAUGGAGGCUUGCUCGAGCGCAUGAAGGACAUAGGAGUUGAUGUUAUUGGACUUGACUGGACAGUGGAUAUGGCAGAUGGAAGGAGGCGCGUUGGUGAUGGAAUUAGUGUACAAGGGAAUGUGGACCCAGCAUAUCUAUUUUCCCCAUUACCAGUAUUGACUGAUGAAAUUCAUAGGGUUGUGAAAGCAGCUGGUCCGAAAGGUCAUAUACUUAACUUGGGCCAUGGUGUUCUUCAAAAAACACCAGAAGAAGCUGUAGCACAUUUCUUUGAUGUCACAAGGAGCUUGAGAUAUGACACCCUUUUCCAGGGUCAUCUUACUGAAGAAUUGCAACCUGUUGCUUGA
rnacentral:rRNA from 1 species